rnacentral:lncRNA from 1 species
AGCAUAUAACACAGCCUGCUUUGCAUUUUUGGUCUCAAGGCACCGUUUUUGAGAUACGAAUCUUAAAAGCAGGGCAUUUCUGCUGUGCCUGCUGCGACCUGCUUUAUCACUCUCCUAUUUCAGCAUCAAGAAAAUGAUGCUGUCAUUCCAGCUAGGAGAAUGAUGGCUUAGUUGAUGGCAGAGUGGAAAGGACUCACAGACCAGCCAGAAGCCCCGGAGCAAGGCAGACAUUCCCAGAAGGACUUGGCAGAAAGAGUCAGACUGAGAAGCUGGCUGGCCGGUAAUGCCAGGAAGGGGAAGAGAUAU